GACGAACCGGGCGAGCGUUGUUCGGAAUCACUGGGCUUAAAGGGUGCGUAGGCGGGCCAUCAAGUCGAGGGUGAAAGCCCCCAGCUCAACUGGGGAAGUGCCUCCGAUACUGGUGGUCUCGAGGGAGAUAGGGGCGUGCGGAACUUCCGGUGGAGCGGUGAAAUGCGUAGAUAUCGGAAGGAACACCGGUGGCGAAAGCGGCGCGCUGGAGCUCUUCUGACGCUGAGGCGCGAAAGCCAGGGGAGCGAACGGG
rnacentral:rRNA from 1 species